GGCAUACCAGGAGGGAAAGGGGGGGUAAAGAGGGAGAGAGAUGGCGAGGAAGGUAGCAGAAAGGAGUCAGGAGGGAGGAGGGGUUAAAUCCUGAAGCUGGGACAGUCAGGCUACAGCAAGUCUGAACACAUAUGGAAAAAUAGCUAAAGAAGAGUGGUAGGAGAACAUGUAAUAAGAGUGGCAAAGUAGGAAGAAGUGGCUUUACCAGGAGGAGGAAACGUGAGAAACAGUAAAGAUGCUGGUGGAGUGUGGAGGUAAACUUCUUCACUGUACUCUCCAAACCCGGCCUUGUUGCAGCCUCUCACCCUGAGCACAUACACACUGUCCAUCUGCAGUCGAUCAACCACAGCACUGGUCCCUCUCACUUCAUCCAGACGCUGCCAUGCCGUUGCAGCAUUAGGGGAUCUGGUGCCGCCCCAUGUCGCUGCAGCUCCUCCUGCCCGUCGCUGGUAUUCAACAGAGAAGUGCCAAGCUGGAGCCGAGUCCUGAGGGAGGCGCCAGCACAAAAACAGCUGGUCAUAAGCAAGUGUCUUCUGAGUGUCAAUGACUGGAGCUAGUGGGGCUGCGGAGGAGACAAAGCAACAGAGGGAUACAGAUUACAUUAAUUUACCUUGAUAAAGUAAAAUUUUACUUUUACAUGGUUCAUAUCGCACAAACAAAGGAGCCUACCACGUAUGAACUCCAAGCCAUGGAUGAGCUUGACCUCUUUGGAUGCAUCUAGGUGAAAAUGUCUAAAGGACGGAUCGGCAGAGAGAGAGAAGCACUGGAGGUUCUCUAUGGCCUUCACCAGCCUGGAGGGGGAGAGACACACAAACAAAAAAGGAGAAGAGAAAUAAAAAGGAAACAAUUUUUUUAAAGAAAUAAAAGUUAAAUGAAGAGAUGUCAGAGAGUCAAAUAUAACUAAUUCAUUCCUCCUAAAGUUUCGGAUUCAGCUAAAAAAGUGUGUGUUACCUGCUGUGAGUGACUCUGGCAGCCUGUACAAAGCAAGGUGCAUCAGUCUCCUUGAGCAGCUCCUGUGUGUAGGCCAUCAGACCCGCGUGCUCCAGCAGGCCUCGCCUCUCGGAGACCUGAGCAGACAGUGCCUCCUCCCUCCUACUGCGGGAUCCCUCCAGGGCCAGAGCCAAAGCCCCCUGACGCUCCGCUACAGCCGCUCCCAGCUCUCGGAUACAGUGGGUCAGCUGCUGCAGAGCCACUGAGCUAUUUGCCUGGAGAGAGACAGAGAGCAGACACCCAAAGAGUGGGGAGAAUUGGAGAAAGAGUGGAGAAACUGUUGCUGCUGAGUGAAAAAACAAUGACAGCUUAGGAAUGACAAACACAUAGACAAUGUCUUAACUAUUGCCAGCACAGAAGAGUGUCAUUGCAGUAGAGCUUCAGGCCUCUAGAGGGCCCACUAAUUCUCCCUAUCAAAAAUGCUGCUUUUUGCAAGAAAACAUGGAUUCAAUUCCAAGACAACAUGCUGAUUUCAACCUGUUAUACAAAAGAAAAGUAAUGACUGGUUGUGUAGAUCACAGCAGAGUGUUGAUAUCUCAAUGACAGAAUUCCUGCUAGCCGCAUGGGAUGAUCAGUUCCAUUGAAUCCAACAAUAUAUUGCAGUACUGUUGCCCGUGUACAAAGAUAAAUUAUGAGGAAACAUGUACUAAAGCAGAGGAAGUACAAAACAGACAAAAGAUAGUUCACCUCCAUCUGUUUGAUGGCAGCUUCCAGUUGAGUGAUCUGACUCUGUAUUGUCUCCUGGUUGGCCAGGAUGAAGUUGACUUCCUUGGUAACCUUGUCCUUUAAGACCAAAACAAAAGUUGACAUUUCAAGGCUGCUAACAUCAGGAUCAGUCGAAACAGACUACACACAAACUCACCUUGAGGGCCUGGUAUGCCUGUGCUAUAGGCAACACUUUGUGUCCAUGGUGGACACGACGAAGCUUACAAAGUGGGCACAGUAACCUCUGGCAGUUACGGCAGUACCACUGCAGUCUCUCCUGCUCGUGCUCUGUGCACGUUAGGACCUAGAGCACAAAAGAGGAUUAAGGCACAACAACAACAGAAAAGAAGCUACGGUAUAUGAUGCACAAAACACAAAAACAGACAAACCUUUGGCCGAAAGUUGUUGGUAGGUAAAAUGUGUUCAUGCUGAGCUCUAGGGGUUCCCCAGGGGUGGUAGAGUUUGAAACACUCGUUGCAGAAGUUGGACUUGCAGUCAGCACAGCCCUUAGUAGCCUCCAGAGACUGAGGAGGCUUACAGAAACCACACAUGAUGGCUACGCUGCCCAGACUUACUGUGUGCCUGUACCUAAAGGGCAGACAGGGGGACAGUAAGAUAAGGGCAGGGCUGAAGCAAUUCUGCAGCAGAAAAGAAAGCAAGAAAGAAGGAGUCCUUUAAACUUAAGAAAGGGAAGAUUGAGCUCAUCCGAGUUUGCCCUACUCUCUUUUCAGUAGUUAGGAGUCCAACUCUUUUACUGCCUGACCUGGAUACAUCACCAGCAGCUGCCUUGUUAGUGCAUCCUGCGCAGUAAAACAUGCACCGUCACACUUUCCUGACCAACACAACCACUGCCUGGGGAGGAAGCAGCUGCACUCAUCGAACUGCUGCAUGUGAAACUGGGAAACUGCCUAUCCCCAUAACUCUCUCUCCCCAUCUCAGAACGCUUUUUUUCAAAAGCAGCUCCUUUCACUUUCAUCUUCACUAUUUGAACUGAUAAGAGAAGAGGAUGAUGAACAUUAAAGAAGGAUGAGAAGUAUUUUCACUCCAAACUCUCUUUGGUACAAAAUGGAACCAUUUUUCCAUUUGUUGUUGUACAGUACACUGCAAUUUUAAAGCUGUCCCUUCAAUCUGCUGUCAGGUUUAGCCUUGGAUCAGGAGUAAAGGAAAGAUUCAUUAUUGAAACUCAUUCCAGCAAAUGAUUUCCUGUCUCAUUUAUAAAACAGUAUUGACUAAG